rnacentral:rRNA from 1 species
GAUGAACGCUGGCGGCGUGCCUAAUACAUGCAAGUCGAGCGAACGGACGAGAAGCUUGCUUCUCUGAUGUUAGCGGCGGACGGGUGAGUAACACGUGGAUAACCUACCUAUAAGACUGGGAUAACUUCGGGAAACCGGAGCUAAUACCGGAUAAUAUUUUGAACCGCAUGGUUCAAAAGUGAAAGACGGUCUUGCUGUCACUUAUAGAUGGAUCCGCGCUGCAUUAGCUAGUUGGUAAGGUAACGGCUUACCAAGGCAACGAUGCAUAGCCGACCUGAGAGGGUGAUCGGCCACACUGGAACUGAGACACGGUCCAGACUCCUACGGGAGGCAGCCGUAGGGAAUCUUCCGCAAUGGGCGAAAGCCUGACGGAGCAACGCCGCGUGAGUGAUGAAGGUCUUCGGAUCGUAAACCUCUGUUAUUAGGGAAGAACAUAUGUGUAAGUAACUGUGCACAUCUUGACGGUACCUAAUCAGAAAGCCACGGCUAACUACGUG